rnacentral:rRNA from 1 species
UGGGGAAUUUUGGACAAUGGGGGAAACCCUGAUCCAGCCAUCCCGCGUGUGCGAUGAAGGCCUUCGGGUUGUAAAGCACUUUUGGCAGGAAAGAAACGUCAUGGGUUAAUACCCCGUGAAACUGACGGUACCUGCAGAAUAAGCACCGGCUAACUACGUGCCAGCAGCCGCGGUAAUACGUAGGGUGCAAGCGUUAAUCGGAAUUACUGGGCGUAAAGCGUGCGCAGGCGGUUCGGAAAGAAAGAUGUGAAAUCCCAGAGCUCAACUUUGGAACUGCAUUUUUAACUACCGGGCUAGAGGGUGGCAGAGGGAGGUGUAAUUCCGCGUGUAGCAGUGAAAUGCGUAGAUAUGCGGAGGAACACCGAUGGCGAAGGCAGCCUCCUGGGAUGACACUGACGCUCAUGAACGAAAGCGUGGGGAGCAAACAGG